GGGCCCCGCCCCCGUCACCCCCGGGGCUGGAGACGCGCGUCCCGGGCGUGCGCGGCGGCCCUGGCGAGGGGCGCAGGCUCGAGGCACCAACCCUACCUCACAUCCUGGCUCACCCUGCUGGGGGAAGGUGGGACCCCCCUGACCAGACCCUGACAGCCUUCCUGGCACCAGAGGCUUCAGCCCCCGCCACGACUCGCCUUUCACUCUGCCCGAAGCUGGUGACAUGGCAAAGGAGGGAUUGGAAUAUUAAACUCAUCUCAGCGUGGCUGCCACCUGGGGCCACCUAGAGGAAGGGGUUGAACCUUGUGCCUGUAGCUGGCAUGCUCUUUCUGAUGCACUCAGCAAACAGAACCCAUACUCCGGCAACACUUGUCACUUCAGGCUGUCAGCCAGAGGCCCCACCUGAAGACACUUGUGGCUGUUAGGAUAGCGCCUUCUUCCACCCUUCGCCCAGCAGUCUGGCAUUCUGAGCUUCUGCAGGUUCUCUGCGGCCCACAGGCUGAUUGUGCCUUUAG
rnacentral:lncRNA from 1 species